rnacentral:rRNA from 1 species
GUGGAUUAGAUACCCUAGUAGUCCACGCCGUAAACGAUGGGCACUAGGUGUGGGAGGUGUCGACUCCUCCCGUGCCGGAGCUAACGCAUUAAGUGCCCCGCCUGGGGAGUACGGCCGCAAGGCUAAAACUCAAAGGAAUUGACGGGGACCCGCACAAGCAGCGGAGCAUGUGGUUUAAUUCGACGCAACGCGAAGAACCUUACCUGGGUUUGACAUGUUCCUGACCGCCCUGGAAACAGGGCUUCCCUUCGGGGCAGGAUCACAGGUGGUGCACGGCCGUCGCCAACU